rnacentral:rRNA from 1 species
CCUACGGGUGGCAGCAGUGGGGAAUAUUGGACAAUGGGGGGAACCCUGAUCCAGCCAUGCCGCGUGUGUGAAGAAGGCCCUCGGGUUGUAAAGCACUUUCAGUGAGGAAGAACGCCUGGUGGUUAAUACCCAUCAGGAAAGACAUCACUCACAGAAGAAGCACCGGCUAACUCCGUGCCAGCAGCCGCGGUAAUACGGAGGGUGCGAGCGUUAAUCGGAAUUACUGGGCGUAAAGCGCGCGUAGGUGGCUUGAUAAGCCGGUUGUGAAAGCCCCGGGCUCAACCUGGGAACGGCAUCCGGAACUGUCAAGCUAGAGUGCAGGAGAGGAAGGUAGAAUUCCCGGUGUAGCGGUGAAACGCGUAGAGAGCGGGAGGAAUACCAGUGGCGAAGGCGGCCUUCUGGACUGACACUGACACUGAGGUGCGAAAGCGUGGGUAGCAAACAGGAUUAGAUACCCCUGUAGUC